GAGCGGGGGAGGUUGCUUCGGUAACUGACCUAGCGGCGGACGGGUGAGUAAUGCUUAGGAAUCUGCCUAUUAGUGGGGGACAACAUUCCGAAAGGGAUGCUAAUACCGCAUACGCCCUACGGGGGAAAGCAGGGGAUCUUCGGACCUUGCGCUAAUAGAUGAGCCUAAGUCGGAUUAGCUAGUUGGUGGGGUAAAGGCCUACCAAGGCGACGAUCUGUAGCGGGUCUGAGAGGAUGAUCCGCCACACUGGGACUGAGACACGGCCCAGACUCCUACGGGAGGCAGCAGUGGGGAAUAUUGGACAAUGGGCGGAAGCCUGAUCCAGCCAUGCCGCGUGUGUGAAGAAGGCCUUUUGGUUGUAAAGCACUUUAAGCGAGGAGGAGGCUCUUAAGGUUAAUACCCUUGAUGAGUGGACGUUACUCGCAGAAUAAGCACCGGCUAACUCUGUGCCAGCAGCCGCGGUAAUACAGAGGGUGCGAGCGUUAAUCGGAUUUACUGGGCGUAAAGCGUGCGUAGGCGGCUGAUUAAGUCGGAUGUGAAAUCCCUGAGCUUAACUUAGGAAUUGCAUUCGAUACUGGUCAGCUAGAGUAUGGGAGAGGAUGGUAGAAUUCCAGGUGUAGCGGUGAAAUGCGUAGAGAUCUGGAGGAAUACCGAUGGCGAAGGCAGCCAUCUGGCCUAAUACUGACGCUGAGGUACGAAAGCAUGGGGAGCAAACAGGAU
rnacentral:rRNA from 1 species